AUCUUUUUUAUUAUUAAAAAAAAUAUAUAAAAAAUACAUUCAAAGUGUGGGUUUUAAAUAUAAGUUGAUCGCGAAACCUAGCUAAACGCUCGGUUCGCCAAAUCAGUAAUGAUCCUUCCGCAGGUUCACCUACGGAAA
rnacentral:misc_RNA from 1 species